UACGGAGGGUGCAAGCGUUAUCCGGAUUUACUGGGUUUAAAGGGUGCGCAGGCGGAUAUGUAAGUCAGUGGUGAAAUCUCCGGGCUUAACCCGGAAAUUGCCGUUGAUACUAGAUAUCUUGAAUGCUGUGGAGGUAAGCAGAAUAUGUCAUGUAGCGGUGAAAUGCUUAGAUAUGACAUAGAAUACCUAUUGCGAAGGCAGCUUACUACGCAGAUAUUGACGCUCAUGCACGAAAGCGUGGGGAUCAAACAGG
rnacentral:rRNA from 1 species